rnacentral:rRNA from 1 species
AGUUUGAUCAUGGCUCAGAAUCAACGCUGGCGGCGUGCCUCAGACAUGCAAGUCGAACGAUUAAAGCUCUCUUCGGAGAGUGCAUAGAGUGGCGCACGGGUGAGUAACACGUAAGUAAUCUACCUUCGAGUGGGGAAUAACGUCCGGAAACGGACGCUAAUACCGCAUAAUGCAGCGGCAUCGUAAGAUGACAGUUGUUAAAGAUUUAUCGCUUGAAGAGGAGCUUGCGGCAGAUUAGCUAGUUGGUAAGGUAAUGGCUUACCAAGGCUACGAUCUGUAACCGGUCUUAGAGGACGGUCGGUCACACUGACACUGAAUAACGGGUCAGACUCCUACGGGAGGCAGCAGUCGGGAAUUUUGGGCAAUGGGCGAAAGCCUGACCCAGCAACGCCGCGUGAAGGAUGAAGUAUUUCGGUAUGUAAACUUCGAAAGAAUAGGAAGAAUAAAUGACGGUACUAUUUAUAAGGUCCGGCUAACUACGUG